rnacentral:lncRNA from 10 species
AGGCACAAAGCUAAUCUACAUUUCCCAACCCCCCUUGUAAGUAAUACAAUUAUGUGACCACCUUAUAGCUAAGGUGGUAUACCGGCCAUACACAGAAGAUUCCCCGGAGGACUACAAGAUACAGGAGAAUGGCAGAGCCAAUGGGUGAAACAAAACUAAGCCUUUAAGUCACUGCUUGAAGGAGAGCCACCCAACCAGAAAGGAGAUGGACAAGGACGUAAUGACUAAGGAUAAUAACUUGCUCAAAAAGACACUGCAAUGUUUUGAGUCUAAUGAUGCCUCUGCUUCCAUUUGAAACAAUGGAAAUUCCAUACAGCUUCUAUUACCUGGAACGAUCAAGCCACAGGGCAAAGCAGAGUGCUAAUACUCCUCAUUGUCAAGAUAAAUGUGGGAAAACAACAUUUAUUUUGUACCAAACCUUGUAGCUGAAAAUAAAGUACAAUUCUAGAUUUCUGCCUAAGGACAAUUGUAAUUAGAAAGACUAAGUGUAUUUUCUUAGUGAUUCAGCAUAUCAGGAAUACUUUCUAAUGAUCAUUUUGAACAUUGGUUAUCACUUAGAAUAGUGCAGCAUUAGAAAUGAUAUGAAGUUGGAGUGUUUGCAUUUUGAAUGAAAGAUGUAACUUACAUAUUUGAAUUUUUUUUUUCAGUAAUUGACAUGUGCUUGGUCCCAUAAAUUUUUCUUCUAU